GCAAACUUGGUCAUUUAGAGGAAGUAAAAGUCGUAACAAGGUCAUCGUAGGUGAACCUGCGGUGGGAUCAUUAUCUGAACCUUUUAAACAUUGUGUGAAAUACUUGGGUUAUAAGAGUGGUAUGUUUUUGUGCUGAUUAAAAAAAGUGCAGGAGGGUAUUGCUUGUUGCAGCGUGGUCGUCGUUGUUUGACAAUUGUUGUUUUUGGCAAUUGUUGUUUGACAAUCUUCGGCCGCCUGCUUUUUUAAACUAUGUUGGUUUGUAUCUUUUUACGAUAGACUGUAUUUAAUUAUUUGCUCGAAAGAGCUAUUAACUUUUUUUACAACUAUCAAUGGUGGAUCACUUGGCUCUUGCAUCGAUGAAGAACGCAGC
rnacentral:misc_RNA from 1 species